GACGAACCGUGCGAACGUUGUUCGGAAUCACUGGGCUUAAAGGGCGCGUAGGCGGGCUAUCAAGUCCGGGGUGAAAUCCUCCCGCUCAACGGGAGAACUGCCUCGGAUACUGAUGGCCUCGAGGGGGAUAGGGGCACGCGGAACUGUGGGUGGAGCGGUGAAAUGCGUUGAUAUCCAUAGGAACUCCGGUGGCGAAAGCGGCGUGCUGGAUCCCUUCUGACGCUGAGGCGCGAAAGCCAGGGGAGCAAACGGG
rnacentral:rRNA from 1 species